ensembl:lncRNA
ACAAGAGGUGCUUUGGAUAAAGAGAAAAGAAAGGAGGACGAGGGGACGAAGCUAAAGCACACAUUACAAAUGAAGAGGUCUUGUCAAACCAAACCAAUCAUCAGCAUCUUUAGUCCUAAUGACCAGUAACAUUAGAAACAAGAGCAGCAGCAAGGGAUGGAGACUUUGGAUGUAUUUACAACCAAAUCACCCACCUGUAGGAUCCUCUGAAGGUCCAGAGUAGUGUCUGUGCAUGUCAGGUGGGUUCUUUGAUCCACAGAAAGAGGCAGAAGCUGUUGGGUGCCAAGCAUGAGCUAAUGCGGUGAGAAGCAGUUUAGACAAACAUACCAGUUUCAGAUUUUCUGGCAUCAGAUUUUCUGGCAUCAUAAGCAUAAUGCAUCAUAGUGCAAUAAGCAGAAGGUGUAACCUUUCUUCAGUAUUGGAUGGAGAUGUACAGUGUAUGAAAACCUGACAAAACCCCGGUUGGCAAACAGAAAUAAGAGUGUAACUAGUGCGCUUUGUACCGAUAAAAUGUCAAGGCUAACUGCUGCUGAGUCACAGGCCAAGUAUCGCUAAUUUCUUACCGCUAUGGUAGCGCUAAAUAAAUUGCAGAUAAAAUAUUAACUAUAUUCUGCUUAUAGCACCAAAACAUGAUAAAACAGAAUACACAUGGACAAAUGGUGUCCAAGGCAACAACCUAAGUAUGAAAGAGAAGCAGUGUUCUCUACCAUGGCUUAACAGAGAAGAAUUUCUGGUUCUAGGUUGGUACUACUGCUCCAUGAGCAGGAGGGGAAACCAAUACCAUAGGGGAACAGAAUAAAAGAUGUCAGUUUGAAAUACACUAAAAUAGGGCGGGCACAGCCGUGUCAGCACAGCAUGUAGCAUGACAGAAUAGAUUUAUAGUGAAUGAAUCUCACAGUUUGUACUGCAUGCUAAAUUUACACAUGACCCAGCUUUUUCAGUCAUGUUUCCUCUCUGAUCCAUCCUGUCACAGUGCACCAAGCUGAAGGACGAGAUCUCAAAGGUCAGGGUUCUUCUGGCCAACAAAGACGCUGAAACAGGAGAGAGCAUCAAACAGGCAGCCACCAACUUGCAGCAGGCAUCGCUCAAAUUGUUCGAGAUGGCCUAUAAGAAGAUGGCAGCAGAGCGGGACAGCAGCAGCAGCAGCAGCUCAAGCUCCUCAUCAGAGGGAGAGAAGAAAGAAGGCCAGCAGUAGAGCUUUGCACUUGGUUGUUGCAGUGGAGGACUGUUGGGCUCAGAAGUGGAUGAGUCAUUGAAUGAAUCUUAGUCAUUCUUUAUCCUGUUAUACUGUGUUUUGGCAGUAAAAUACCCUAGCGUAAACAUAAAUGUCAAUAUAUGCUCUUACAUGUCCUGUGAUAUCCUGUUUGUAAUUUAAUUCCCAACUUCUUGUAUGUUUUAUUUUUACAAAUCUGUUAAUUUACAUUCUGAUGUAGUAAAAGGUUGUUUUUUUUUCCCUCGUGGUUUCAUCUCUGAAGCAGAUCAGCUUGUCAGUUUGUGUCUUUACUAGUUCAGUCAUGAAAGCCUGCGUAGCCUGAGCUUAAUGACUGAGGCUAGCCCUUUUUCACUCUGUCCACAUAACAUUACUGUCAC